rnacentral:siRNA from 1 species
GACGAUAUUUGGUGAUUAUUUGG